AAGAUUAUCUUUAAACCUGCAUAUAGUCUUUGACUUCAAUAGUAAAAAGUCAGGUGCUUGUGGCCAAGCCCAUGAAAGUCUUUUGUAGGAUCAGGGUCUAAAUUACUAAAAUUUACGGGUACCACCCUUUCCUCUGGUUCUCACCUGCCACAACUUGGAUCUCAAAAAGGGAGGAAAGAGAUUAAUGAGAUGUUAAUUGGUACCCAUGGAAUAACCUGUCCCGAUCUAUUACAUUGAUCAAUGCAUUUUAUUACUUUUCUUAUCUUUUCCCUUACAGUGGCCCAGGUUGGAGAUGGCAAUAGGCUCGAGCCUCUCCCUGGACCACCCUGAGACUCAAGGGGAGACCUUCAGCUGCAGGAUCUCCCAGACUUGAUCACAAAAAGCACCAAGGAUCCAUUCACAGACCAUGCUGGGACAAGAAAUGCAAAACCGGUCAACAUAUCUCCACCAGCCCCACAAUAACUACACCCCACAAUAGAACCAUCACCAUUCCUGGAUCCUACACCUGCACCUCCAGAAAUGUAAUAUACCUCAUCCAAUGCACCAAAUGCCCUGAUAGAAAAUAUGUAGGAGAAACAAAACAACAACUGUGCACCAAAAUGAACGGACGCUGAAAAUCUAGCAAAUACGAGAUAAUUCUUGUACAAGAAUACCCAACUACCUGCGGGGGCACACUUCUCACAAGACAGUCACUCCCUCUCCGAACUCUCAGUUCUAAUCCUCAAAGGGAACUUACAAAACACCUUUUGUAGUUAAGCCUACCAACUUCACUUCAUAAAUCUACUGGAUACAAAAAAUCAUGGACUCAAUAUACAAGUACACCCCUGAAACACCGAAGAUGCUGCAUUUUAGCUGCUUUUGGAUUUUCAAUGUCUAUAUUGAGUCCAUACAAAAAGCUAAGAACUUUUUUCCAACUACUCAGUUAGUCUAAUAAAAUAUAUCAAAUCUACUCAAAGAACCUUGCCUACCUUUUAGGUGAAUGGAUUUUCAGAAUGGAUUGGGAUCAUAUUUAGAUGUCUCAAAGGUGGAACAGGAUCCAACCCUGAGACUUUCGUGAUAGAUACUCCACAAACACAGAAUAAACAACAAAAGAAUGAAAGAGACUGGUAAGGGAUGAGUAAUUAAAAACAUUAUCCACUUUUUCCAGAUGUGGAUCAAGGUACAACAAGUACUUAACUUAUCCAUUCAAGAUAAUACAGAAAGCCUAUGGUUAAGUAGGGAACUGAACCCAAAUCUCUUAAGUUCCAGCUUAGUACCUAACCACUGGACUAUAAUGAUCACUGGGUUCAAUAAAUAGAGACAUACAAGAAUGAGAAGAACUAACAACAAACUUUAAGUGUGGAGCAGUAGGCAAACUUCUGCAGGUCCUUUGUCUCUCUCUAAUUGAGAAAUGAGCUACUUAACUAGGAAACCAUCUCCCAACUGCCCUAGUCCCUCAGUCUCCUUUUAGGUUGCUUCCUUAACUUAUUACUUCUAUCAAUACAACUUCCCACUUAGCAACUACAAAAAUAAAUUAACAUAAACUUCCAUUAACACCCAUCUACAGAGGAAAGGUUACUAGUACUGCACUCUGAAGUGCAACUUUAUCACUCACUUUCCCUUUCACGCUUCUGCAGCUCUCUUAACAUGUCUUCGAGAAACUGUCUUCUCAGAUUGACAAAUUAUUGGUUUGGGUGGGGAGCUUUCCCUCCAAGCAGUGCUGAUGCAUAGGGGGUGCAUGGGGGUGUGAGUGCCGGUGCACCCCCUGAGCAGCUGCGCUUGCUGCUUAAGUGAUGGGCAGGGGGGGCAAGCAGGAACACCGGUACCCACCCCUUCAAGCGCCAGCCAAUCGCUGCAGCCGCUACCAAAAGCAGCUGCAGCCACUCCCAGAAGCGGCUGCAGUGAUCGGCCGUUGCGGGAUUGGCCAGUUAGCAGGAUCAGCCAUGGAGGGGACCGCCCCGCCGGUUGGCAGGAUCAGUCAUGGGGGGACUUCUCCUGUUGGCCGGACUGGUCAUGGGGCAGUGGGAGGGGGCACGUGCCCCCCACCCCGACUAAGGUGUCACCAGUCAUCCAUGCCUCCUUGAUAGACUUAAAUCUUUAUACUGGGAUCCAGUUGACUUGUGCUUUUGGCAACCGUGCUUUUGACCAUCGUAUUGAGUUAAUUGCCUACAAACUGCUGAGGCUGAUUCUUUUUUCUGCGUGAUAAUAUUUGCAUUUGUGUUUGAAGGAACUUUUCUUAAGGACAUGGUUAUGACUAGUGCUAUGUAUCAAAUUAUUUCUUAAGAAAAUUGUCCAGAAUAGGGCUGGGACAGCCAAGAAGCUCAUCAGGAAGCCUGACUGUUGUACCUUCUUGUACUGCAAACACACAUUUAAGUAGAUUCAGUUUCUCACAAACUGUUGGGCAUAAAAUUGAUGUCACCUCCCUUGGAACCACAAUGAGUUUGUACAAAUGUAUAUGUCUAUAUCAGACGUGAACAACACAUCUCCCUUUCACUAGUUUAUUUGUUCCUGAAUGUACAGUUAUUUUAAUAUUUGUUGGACUUAGUUUUGGACUAAAUUUCAAUUUUCUACAUACCUAUUCUAGUAAAAUAUUAACCUGA